AAUCAAAUUAACUUAACAACAUAAAUAGUACAGCAUAACCUAACUAAAUAAACUAAACCAUUUUUCCACCUUAGUACGGGAGACGGAAAAGGUAACUCCAAGCAAUAGAAAGAGUACCGCAAGGGAAAGCUGAAAGAGUAAUGAAACAACCUAUAUAAGCACGAAAAAGCAGAGCCUAAAUCUCGUACCUUUUGCAUCAUGAUUUAGCCAGUACCACACAAGCAAAGUGACCUUUAGUUUGAUGCCCCGAAACCAAGUGAGCUACCCCGGGACAGCCUAAUGGGCCAACCCGUCUCUGUGGCAAAAGAGUGGGAUGAGCCCCGGGUAGAGGUGAUAAACCUACCGAACUUGGUGAUAGCUGGUUGCCUAAGAAAUGAAUAGAAGUUCAGCCUCGUACCCCUUUAAACAACCAAGAAAUAUCUAAAUAAGCAAAAAGAGAAACACGAGAGUUAGUUAAAGGGGGUACAGCCCCUUUAACCAAGGACACAACCUUAAGCAGAAGGAUAAGGGUCAUAUUUUUUAAAACUAGUCGCCUCAGUGGGCCUAAAAGCAGCCAUCUGAACAGAAAGCGUUAAAGCUCAAGCGACACAAAGUUUAUUAUACUGAUAAACAACCCUACUCCUCUAAAUAUAUUAGGCCAUUCCAUGCCAACAUGGAAGAGACCAUGCUAAUAUGAGUAACAAGAGGACAAGAUCCUCUCCCAGCACAAGUGUAAACCGGAUCGGACUAACCACCGGAAAUUAACGAACCCAAAAAAAGAGGGCAAUGUAAACACAAACAAAAUCAAGAAAAUCCCACAACACCAAAAUCGUUAACCCCACACUGGAAUGCAUCAAGGAAAGACUAAAAGAAAGGGAAGGAACUCGGCAAACAUAAGCCUCGCCUGUUUACCAAAAACAUCGCCUCCUGCAAACCCCUAUGUAUAGGAGGUCCAGCCUGCCCAGUGACUACAAGUUCAACGGCCGCGGUAUUUUGACCGUGCAAAGGUAGCGCAAUCACUUGUCUUUUAAAUGAAGACCUGUAUGAAUGGCCAAACGAGGGCUUAACUGUCUCCCCUUUCAAGUCAGUGAAAUUGAUUUACCCGUGCAGAAGCGGGUAUAAGAAUACAAGACGAGAAGACCCUUUGGAGCUUAAGGUACAAACCCAACUACGUUAAACAACUUACUAAAAAGCAUGAACCUAGUAGAAAAUGGAAUUUUACCUUCGGUUGGGGCGACCAUGGAGAACAAAAAAUCCUCCAAGUGGAUUGGGACUAAACCCUAAAACUAAGAAAGACACUUCCAAGUCACAGAAAUUCUGACCAAUUAUGAUCCGGCUUCCGAGCCGAUCAACGAACCAAGUUACCCUAGGGAUAACAGCGCAAUCCUCUCCAAGAGUCCAUAUCGACGAGAGGGUUUACGACCUCGAUGUUGGAUCAGGACAUCCUAAUGGUGCAGCCGCUAUUAAGGGUUCGUUUGUUCAACGAUUAAAGUCCUACGUGAUCUGAGUUCAGACCGGAGCAAUCCAGGUCAGUUUCUAUCUGUAAAGUCAUUUUUCCUAGUACGAAAGGACCGGAAAAAAAAGGCCCAUGCUAAAAGCACGCCUUACCCCUAAUUAAUGAAAGCAACUAAAUUAAAUAAAGGGAGGACCCAAAAUA
rnacentral:rRNA from 1 species